AGUGGCGGACGGGUGAGUAACGCGUGGGUAACCUGCCCUAUACAGGGGGAUAACAGUUAGAAAUGACUGCUAAUACCGCAUAAGCGCACAGGACCGCAUGGUUCGGUGUGAAAAACUGAGGUGGUAUAGGAUGGACCCGCGUCCGAUUAGCUUGUUGGUGGGGUAACGGCUCACCAAGGCGACGAUCAGUAGCCGGCCUGAGAGGGCGACUGGCCACAUUGGGACUGAGACACGGCCCAAACUCCUACGGAAGGCAGCAG
rnacentral:rRNA from 1 species